rnacentral:rRNA from 1 species
UACGAAGGGGGCUAGCGUUGCUCGGAAUUACUGGGCGUAAAGCGCGUGUAGGCGGCUAAGUAAGUCGGGCGUGAAAUCCCACGGCUCAACCGUGGAAGUGCACUCGAAACUGCGUAGCUAGAGUCCUGGAGAGGAAGGUGGAAUGCUUGGUGUAGAGGUGAAAUUCGUAGAUAUCAGGAGGAACACCGAUGGCGAAGGCAGGUCUCUGGGCUGACACUGACGCUCAUGCACGAAAGCGUGGGGAGCAAACAGG